rnacentral:misc_RNA from 1 species
AACGCACCUUGCGCUCCUUGGUAUUCCGAGGAGCAUGCCUGUUUGAGUGUCAUUAAAUUCUCAACCUGACCAGCUUUUUGUGAGCUUUGGCUUAGGCUUGGAUGUGGGGGGUUGCGGGCUUCACAGAAGUCGGCUCUCCUUAAAUGCAUUAGUGGAACCUUUUGUUGACCUGUUCCUGGUGUGAUAAUUAUCUACACCGCGGGCGGUUAGCAGCUCAUUUUUAAAUGGGGGCUUCGCUUCUAACUUGUCCUUACCCGGACACUUUGACCAUUUGACCUCAAAUCAGGUAGGACUACCCGCUGAACUUAA